ensembl:lncRNA
GGGGAGAUUGUGAUGGAUGGAUGGAUGGAUGGAUGGAUGGAUGGAUGGAUGGACUAAUAGAUUGAGUUGGGUUAGUGGCAGGAUGGAUGGAUUCAUGGAUUUGGGUUGGAGCGGUGAACACAUGGUCAGAUGGGUGACUAGUUGGGUGGAUGGAUGAAUGACAGUUGUGUUGGGUUGAAACGGUCAGUAGGUUUGGUUAGGUGCUUCUCUGGGUAGUUACACUGUAACAGUGAUAUCUCUUUAUCUUCUUGUUUUCCCUGCUCCCUUCACAUAUCUCCGUCUCUCGUUUGACAAUCCUUGCUUGCGUUUCUUCUCUCUCUCUCCGUUCCUCCUCUUAAACCCGCGCAGUACGCCUGCGGGAAAAGAGGCGCAUAUCUUUCUCUUUCAACCUCUCCCCUAUCCUCAACAAGUCCAAACCUCUCUUUCUGUACGGGGAGACCUCCUCUAGUGACGAUGAGGAUAACCUGAGUAUGAGGCCAUUUUCCAGUGGUUCUUGCUCACUGGCCUACAGUAUCUCAGAGGAGGACACCGGUUCUCUACGGAGCGACAGCGAGGGUCGCAGCGGGAACAGAGUGGGCCGGACCUUCAGCUACCUGAAGAACAAGAUGACCAGGAAGAGCAGGGAGAAAGAGAAGAAGACGCUGAACGGUCAUGUUUUCAGUCCGUCGUCUUCCCCGCAGGCGACGCUCUGCGUCAUCUGUAGCAAAGCCCUCAGCGCCAAAGACUUCUUCACCUGCUCACGUAAGACCGUCAUGGCCGCCUCGCGUCUCCUAAUGGCUGCAGCACCACACACAGGAAACUGUUGAUUAAAAAUCGACUGACGUGUGUAAUAUCAGCAUUGGUGGCAGGUAUAGAAAUGUCCUGGAUGAUCAUGAAGUUGUUAAUUAGUUGCUUCCAUUUUUGAGAUAGAUGAUACAGUGCGGUUGAUGGCAUUGGCAUUGAAUACUCAUGAUAUCGCCUCUAUGAGUUGUAGUUAUGUAGUUGUGAGCAGGGUUGUGUUCUACUGGGUCGGAAUAAGAACUUUGCAUCACAUCAACAGAUGUUUAGCAGCUGUGUAGCAGGAGAACACUGAGCUGCAUGUACCUAACGACCAGGAGAAGUAGAAGGUUCAAUAAAGAGAACAAUAGCUCCAGGAACUACAAUUAGAGCUCAUUAUCUGGGCUUAUUGGCUGGCUAGUCACU